rfam:Dipodomys ordii contig_36095, whole genome shotgun sequence.
GGUGGCUCAGUGGUAGAGUGCUUGCCUUGCAUGCAUGAGGCCCUGGGUUCAAUUCCCUAGCACCA